CACCUCCGUUAAUUCCUCUUUUGCCCAAAAGCGUUUCUUCUCCCAUAUUCUUCCAUUCUACUUCGAACUGAAAUUCUUGAUGCCGAACACCUAUCGUGACCUAUUCACUGGAGAUUAGUUCGGUCGAGUUCCGCCAGCAGACUUCGACGGUCAUACUGGUAGGAGGUAAGUACUCUCUGACGGCCAUACUAGUAGGAGGUAAGUACUCUGUAAGUUUUUCUCAUUUCUUAUAUAUAUAUUCUUCCAUUCUACUUCGAACUGAAAUUCUUGAUGCCGAACACCUAUCGUGACCCACUCACCGGAGAUUAGUUCGGUCGAGUUCCGCCAGCAGACUUCGACGGCCAUACUGGCAGGAGGUAAGUACUCUGUAACUUUUUCUCAUUUCUUAUAUAUAUAUAUUCUUCCAUUCUACUUCGAACUGAAAUUCUUGAUGCUGAACACCUAUUGUGACCCACUCAUCGGAGAUUAGUUCGGUCGAGUUCCGCCAGCAGACUUCGACGGCCAUACUGGCAGGAGUGUGGGAGCCCCCUAACGCCGUUUCAAAUCCUUGACACCCCCGGAAUUCGAAAGCCCUCCAAAAUUCGAAACUCUCCAGCAAUUAAAAUUCAUAUGCAUGGAGCAAUCUACAUGUUAGAUGAAAAUCGGGAGCAGGAUUAUAAAGAGAGAAGCCAGAGGUCUGAGUUCUUUCAACAGUUGGUCCUAUCAACCAUUUUCUAAAACCCUUUGCAACUUGAGUGGGUUAUCAUAAAAAGUACCAAAGAAAUGCAAUGAUAUCUUCGAAACACCUUAUUUAUUGCUCAUGUAUGCAUUUAUGUAGCUGCUAUGUCUGGAAGAGGGAUUUUGGUAAUAACCAAAGACGGUAUUUCUACUGUUGU